AGUCCUGAUGUGCUUAAAAAUGCUGGCGGUGGUGGGCGAACGCGGCGAAGGAGGCCGAGCAGGAGCGGAGAGUCUGCCCCAGGGGCCCCAGAGAAGAGCCCAGGCCUCGGUUUCAGCCCCGGGAGACCCUAAGAGGAGAACCCAGUCGAGCCCCCCCAGACCUCUGACCUACAGAACUUCUGGGCUGCGCCAGAUGAACACGGAGACCUCAGAAGUCGCACGUUUAUAAGAUGGUGGAGCCACCCAUGGAAGCAGUCCGGGUCCCUGAGUCACCACUGGGAGGAGAGCCAUUUCUUGAUU